rnacentral:rRNA from 1 species
GACCUCAAAUCAGGUAGGGUUACCCGCUGAACUUAAGCAUAUCAAUAAG